GGUGAGGUUUUCUUUCAUCCUUUUUUUUCCUCUCUGCAACAGGAGCUGCGGCUGGAAUGUAAGUCCAAGUUAAUGAAGCAGCCUCAAAGUUGAGGAGGAAGAGAAUAAACUGCAGCUCUGAGGCACAGACCAUUGGAGAUUCCUCUUUCAAACCCUGCCUUUGCCACUCACUGGAGUUAUUUGAUUUGGGAACAAGGCCCCAGAAUUUGGACCUUUCUCAUCACACUGCCUGUCUGUUGGAAGGAGAUCUCUGCUCAUUCCUG
rnacentral:lncRNA from 12 species